AUUGAACGCUGGCGGCAGGCUUAACACAUGCAGGUCGAGCGGAGCGAGGGUGCUUGCACCUUAGCUUAGCGGCGGACGGGUGAGUAAUGCUUAGGAAUCUGCCUAUUAGUGGGGGACAACAUUCCGAAAGGAAUGCUAAUACCGCAUACGUCCUACGGGGGAAAGCAGGUGAUCUUCGGACCUUGCGAUAAUAGAUGAGCCUAAGUCGGAUUAGCUAGUUGGUGGGGUAAAGGCCUACCAAGGCGACGAUCUGUAGCGGGUCUGAGAGGAUGAUCCGCCACACUGGGACUGAGACACGGCCCAGACUCCUACGGGAGGCAGCAGUGGGGAAUAUUGGACAAUGGGCGGAAGCCUGAUCCAGCCAUGCCGCGUGUGUGAAGAAGGCCUUUUGGUUGUAAAGCACUUUAAGCGAGGAGGAGGCUACUAGUAUUAAUACUACUGGAUAGUGGACGUUACUCGCAGAAUAAGCACCGGCUAACUCUGUGCCAGCAGCCGCCGAAUAC
rnacentral:rRNA from 1 species